GGGUUGUGAGGUUAAGCGACUAAGCGUACACGGUGGAUGCCCUGGCAGUCAGAGGCGAUGAAGGACGUGCUAAUCUGCGAAAAGCGUCGGUAAGGUGAUAUGAACCGUUACAGCCGGCGAUGUCCGAAUGGGGAAACCCAGUGUGAUUCGUCACACUAUCGUUAACUGAAUACAUAGGUUAACGAGGCGAACCGGGGGAACUGAAACAUCUAAGUACCCCGAGGAAAAGAAAUCAACCGAGAUUCCCCCAGUAGCGGCGAGCGAACGGGGAGCAGCCCAGAGUCUGAAUCAGCUUGUGUGUUAGUGGAACGGUCUGGAAAGUCCGACGGUACAGGGUGAUAGUCCCGUACACCAAAAUGCACAGGCUGUGAACUCGAAGAGUAGGGCGGGACACGUGGUAUCCUGUCUGAAUAUGGGGGGACCAUCCUCCAAGGCUAAAUACUCCUGACUGACCGAUAGUGAACCAGUACCGUGAGGGAAAGGCGAAAAGAACCCCGGCGAGGGGAGUGAAAAAGAACCUGAAACCGUGUACGUACAAGCAGUGGGAGCACCUUCGGGUGUGACUGCGUACCUUUUGUAUAAUGGGUCAGCGACUUAUAUUCUGUAGCAAGGUUAACCGUAUAGGGGAGCCGCAGGGAAACCGAGUCUUAACUGGGCGUUAAGUUGCAGGGUAUAGACCCGAAACCCGGUGAUCUAGCCAUGGGCAGGUUGAAGGUUGGGUAACACUAACUGGAGGACCGAACCGACUAAUGUUGAAAAAUUAGCGGAUGACUUGUGGCUGGGGGUGAAAGGCCAAUCAAACCGGGAGAUAGCUGGUUCUCCCCGAAAGCUAUUUAGGUAGCGCCUCGUGAACUCAUCUUCGGGGGUAGAGCACUGUUUCGGCUAGGGGGUCAUCCCGACUUACCAACCCGAUGCAAACUACGAAUACCGAAGAAUGUUAUCACGGGAGACACACGGCGGGUGCUAACGUCCGUCGUGAAGAGGGAAACAACCCAGACCGCCAGCUAAGGUCCCAAAGUCACAGUUAAGUGGGAAACGAUGUGGGAAGGCACAGACAGCCAGGAUGUUGGCUUAGAAGCAGCCAUCAUUUAAAGAAAGCGUAAUAGCUCACUGGUCGAGUCGGCCUGCGCGGAAGAUGUAACGGGGCUAAACUGUGCACCGAAGCUGCGGCAGCGACACUAUGUGUUGUUGGGUAGGGGAGCGUUCUGUAAGCCUGCGAAGGUGGCCUGUGAGGGUUGCUGGAGGUAUCAGAAGUGCGAAUGCUGACAUAAGUAACGAUAAUGCGGGUGAAAAGCCCGCACGCCGGAAGACCAAGGGUUCCUGUCCAACGUUAAUCGGGGCAGGGUGAGUCGACCCCUAAGGCGAGGCCGAAAGGCGUAGUCGAUGGGAAACAGGUUAAUAUUCCUGUACUUGGUGUUACUGCGAAGGGGGGACGGAGAAGGCUAUGUUAGCCGGGCGACGGUUGUCCCGGUUUAAGCAUGUAGGCGGAGGUUCCAGGUAAAUCCGGUACCUUUUUAACGCUGAGGUGUGAUGACGAGGCACUACGGUGCUGAAGUAACAAAUGCCCUGCUUCCAGGAAAAGCCUCUAAGCAUCAGGUAACAUUAAAUCGUACCCCAAACCGACACAGGUGGUCAGGUAGAGAAUACCAAGGCGCUUGAGAGAACUCGGGUGAAGGAACUAGGCAAAAUGGUGCCGUAACUUCGGGAGAAGGCACGCUGAUAUGUAGGUGAAGCCCCUGCGGGUGGAGCUGAAAUCAGUCGAAGAUACCAGCUGGCUGCAACUGUUUAUUAAAAACACAGCACUGUGCAAACACGAAAGUGGACGUAUACGGUGUGACGCCUGCCCGGUGCCGGAAGGUUAAUUGAUGGGGUUAUCCGUAAGGAGAAGCUCUUGAUCGAAGCCCCGGUAAACGGCGGCCGUAACUAUAACGGUCCUAAGGUAGCGAAAUUCCUUGUCGGGUAAGUUCCGACCUGCACGAAUGGCGUAAUGAUGGCCAGGCUGUCUCCACCCGAGACUCAGUGAAAUUGAACUCGCUGUGAAGAUGCAGUGUACCCGCGGCAAGACGGAAAGACCCCGUGAACCUUUACUAUAGCUUGACACUGAACAUUGAGCCUUGAUGUGUAGGAUAGGUGGGAGGCUUUGAAGCGUGGACGCCAGUCUGCGUGGAGCCAACCUUGAAAUACCACCCUUUAAUGUUUGAUGUUCUAACGUUGGCCCCUUAUCGGGGUUGCGGACAGUGUCUGGUGGGUAGUUUGACUGGGGCGGUCUCCUCCCAAAGAGUAACGGAGGAGCACGAAGGUUAGCUAAUCCUGGUCGGACAUCAGGAGGUUAGUGCAAUGGCAUAAGCUAGCUUGACUGCGAGCGUGACGGCGCGAGCAGGUGCGAAAGCAGGUCAUAGUGAUCCGGUGGUUCUGAAUGGAAGGGCCAUCGCUCAACGGAUAAAAGGUACUCCGGGGAUAACAGGCUGAUACCGCCCAAGAGUUCAUAUCGACGGCGGUGUUUGGCACCUCGAUGUCGGCUCAUCACAUCCUGGGGCUGAAGUAGGUCCCAAGGGUAUGGCUGUUCGCCAUUUAAAGUGGUACGCGAGCUGGGUUUAGAACGUCGUGAGACAGUUCGGUCCCUAUCUGCCGUGGGCGCUGGAGAAUUGAGGGGGGCUGCUCCUAGUACGAGAGGACCGGAGUGGACGCAUCACUGGUGUUCGGGUUGUCAUGCCAAUGGCAUUGCCCGGUAGCUAAAUGCGGAAGAGAUAAGUGCUGAAAGCAUCUAAGCACGAAACUUGCCCCGAGAUGAGUUCUCCCUGAGACUUUAAGUCUCCUGAAGGAACGUUAAAGACGAUGACGUUGAUAGGUCGGGUGUGUAAGCGUAGCGAUACGUUGAGCUAACCGAUACUAAUGAACCGUGAGGCUUAACCUUACAACGCCGAAGGUGUUU
rnacentral:rRNA from 1 species